rnacentral:rRNA from 1 species
GGGGGCGAGUCGGAUUACUGGGUGUAAGGGUGCUCAGGUGGCUGUGUAAGUCAGAGGUGAAAUUUCAGAGCUUAACUCUGAAACUGCCUUUGAUACUAUACAGCUUGUGUACGGAAGAGGGUGAUGGAAUUCCUGGUGUAGCAGUGAAAUGCGUAGAUAUCAGGAAGAACACCAGUGGCGAAGGCGGUCACCUGGUCCGUUACAGACACUAAAGCACGAAAGCGUGGGUAGCAAACAGGAUUAGAUACCCUGGUAGUCCACGCCCUAAACGAUGAAUACUAGAUGUUGGGCGUAAAAGUUCAGUAUCGAAGCUAACGCAUUAAGUAUUCCACCUGGGGAGUACGAUCGCAAGUUUGAAACUCAAAGGAAUUGACGGGGGCCCGCACAAGCAGUGGAGCAUGUGGUUCAAUUCGAUGCAACGCGAAGAACCUUACCUGGGCUUGAAAAGCAAGCUAAGGCAGAUGAAAGUCUGCGUGCCGCAAGGCGAGCUUGUACAGGUGCUGCAUGGCUGUCGUCAGCUCGUGCCGUGAGGUGUUGGGUUAAGUCCCGCAACGAGCGCAACCCUUGUUCUUAGUUGCCACCGGGUAAUGCCGAGCACUCUAAGAAGACUGCCUACGCAAGUAGUGAGGAAGGUGGGGAUGACGUCAAGUCCGCAUGGCCCUUACGCCCAGGGCCACACACGUGCUACAAUGGCCACUACAAAGGGCUGCAAAGCCGCAAGGUGAUGCCAAUCCCUAAAAAGUGGUCUCAGUUCGGAUCGGAGUCUGAAACUCGACUCCGUGAAGCUGGAAUUGCUAGUAAUCGCGCAUCAGCACGGCGCGGUGAAUACGUUCCCGGGCCUUGUACACACCGCCCGUCAAGCCAUGGAAGCUGGGGGUACCCGAAGUCGCCUUUAACAAGCGCCGAAGUAAAACCAGUGACUGGGGCUAAGUCGUAACAAGGUAACC